rnacentral:misc_RNA from 1 species
AAGUCGUAACAAGGUUUCCGUAGGUGAACCUGCGGAAGGAUCAUUAUUGAAUAACGCUUGGGACUGUGCUGGCUGCUUGCAGUAAUGUGCACGUUUCAUUCAUUAUUUUUCAACUUGUGAACUAGUGUAGUCGGUCCUUUGCUUAUGGAAGUUAUUUUUGAAGGCUCUGCUUUAUCGCGGCUGGAUCUAGGCUUCGAGUGAAGGUCGACUAUGAUUUUAUAUAACCCAAUGUAUGUUUUAGAAUGUCUAUUGAACGGGUCGUAAGGCCCUAGUAAAACCUAUACAACUUUCAGCAACGGAUCUCUUGGCUCUC